rnacentral:tRNA from 1 species
GUUCUUAUGGUGUAGUCUGCACGUUAGGUUUUCGUCCUGGAGGAAUGUCAGAUUGACAUUAAGGACU